UCACACGCACUCCUUCCUCCUCACGGCCUCAAACGGGCGACGCUAGGGUUUCGCCCAGCCCCAGCCUCGGCCGCCGCUCGACCUCGGCGACCGCCGCUAGACCUCCACGCCCGUGCCUUGACCUCCUUGGCUCCUUGGCCGCCACUCGACCUCCUUAGCUCCUCGGCCGCUGCUCGACCUCCACGGCCGCGCUUCACCAACACUUGCUUCCCCGUAUGCCCUUCAUUGAUAUGGACUCGUGCUCCUCAGCCCUAAUGGUGUUGUGCUACACGCGUGCUCCGCGGCCCCUCCUCCACGGUCUCGUACAGGAAGGACGAGGGCGAGUCCUGGUUACUGGCGUGUGUGGGAACACACACCUAUCAUAUGCCCUAGCAGUGCAGGCCUGAACACAUGUCAUAUGUUGGAGUAGAUGCAAGUAUAUGAAUGAUGAAUGGGUGCUGCCUUAAAUCAUCAGCACAUUAGUGGUGCCUGAUCCAAGUCAAACGCUCGCCGUGGACAGCCUAUUCGCCAAAGUGGUUACGCCGAGCUGUAGCAGCUGGGCGCCCAUCUAGCCGCUCUGCUGGGUGUGGCGUCACUCCUGUUCCCGGCAACAGGUACUUCUCUACCAGACAAAUUCACUUAGAUUGGGCUGCUGCAAGAGUUCCUAUUGUUGAUUUUGAAUGUUUUUUUUAAGGAGAAAGGUUAGUAAAUGAUGUUGUUUUCUACAAUGCAAAUUUAGUCGUCGGCUUUGCUAUUGAGUGCCAAGGUGUAGAUUCAGAACUGCGGGGUUCAACAUAGAGGGCUUCACUACAAUAUUCUUGCCAUGGGGUUGAUGGAUGUGAACGGUCUAAAUAACACGGCCAAUGAGCGGACGCUUCGUCGAAUAUUUUUGAUCUAUGCAACACUGGAUCAAUUACACAUCCAUCCACCCAACUUCAGUUUUGAUAUAUUUGAUGCAUAAUAUACAACGAAUCUUACUUAUGUUGAAAAACUUAGACAUAUAAGAAUGUCUGCAAGCAAACCACGUACCACACAUUUUAGAAGGUUUAUUUUUCUACAUUUAUAAAUUUUUUUCUACAUUUGUACUAGCUAUGUAUCAAUAAGUAUUUCUACAUUUUUUUAUUUGAUGCCAAAUUUUAAGGAACGUCAAUCUGAUGUAUUUUUACAGUAAUCAUCAUGUUGACUUGGUGCUUGCCCGUUCGCAACAUACCUUGGUAUUGUCGAAGGGUUGGAUGAUUGUAAACCGGAUGUACCAUUAACGACAAUGGCGUGGAUGGAUUGGGGAGACAAAUAAUACGGAAGGACAAAGAAGUAGGAUGAUUUGAAGGUUAAAAAAUUCUAAAAUGCUAUUUUAUGUGCAUGAGGAUUCUAAACAAAACACGACUAAUGUGAAACCAAUUGGAUAUUCAUGCCCCCGGUGCAACGCACGGACAAUUACCUAGUAAUCUAAACAUUCAUAUUUCAUACCAUCAAAUCUCACAACAAUAGAUUGCAACUAAAUCUCACAGUAACGCGGGGAAGUAGUUAUCAUAUAUAGAUGGGGGCGUCCUGGGCGCCACUUUUCGUUUUUCUCCACGCCUUGCAUGCUUCCAUGGAACAGGGCAUUCUUCUAAUUCAAUUCUCGACGGUUGAUCGUCGGCGGCUGGACCAACCCUUGAAUCCCGUUCCACUUUACGCUUUCCAAAAUGAAAAACACAUGCGGAGUCGUAGUAUAUUGCCAGCAGUACUUAAUUUCAAGACUCCUUUUCGCACGCCUGGACUCACGUCACGUCCGGACUCCGGCGAGCCUAUAAAACCACACCGGCGACGCCAUUGCUAACGACAGCCACCGCACCUUCACAGUUCACACUUGACAAUCUGCUCUGUUUCUGCUCGAGUGAGUGACUGAUCGGUAUUCGAUAGCUAGCUAGCAAUGACGGCGCGGGGGAUUGCAAGCGGGAACGGCAGCACGGCCGUGGUCGUGGGCGUGCUGCUCGCCUGCGCGUUCCUCCAUGCGAGGGUGGCGGAGUCGGCGGAGUUCAUCGUCGGCGACGGCAGCGGCUGGUCCGUCAACGCCAGCUCCUGGGCCAACGGCAAGCGCUUCUUGGGCCGUGACGUCCUUGGUACGUACACCCUCUGACCUCUUAUGUUUCUAAUAUAAAUGUAACUAAGGCACUUUCAAAAAAAAUUGUAACUAAGGCGUUUUUGCAGUUUAAUACUAAGGCGUUUUUGCAGUUUAAUACAGGGUGUGUCUAGGUUUCAGACUUAACCAAGCCUUAGUCACACGGAGUACUAGUAUACAAUAAAAAAAAGAAAAACUAAAAAAAAUAUUUUGUACGAAUCUCCAUGCAAGAUCUAAAAGAUAUAACAUCAA